UACGGAGGGUGCGAGCGUUAAUCGGAAUUACUGGGCGUAAAGCGUGCGUAGGCGGUUUGAUAAGUCUGAUGUGAAAGCCCUGGGCUUAACCUGGGAACGGCAUUGGAUACUGUCAGACUCGAGUGUGGGAGAGGGUAGUGGAAUUUCCGGUGUAGCAGUGAAAUGCGUAGAGAUCGGAAGGAACACCAGUGGCGAAGGCGGCUACCUGGACCAACACUGACGCUGAGGUACGAAAGCGUGGGGAUCAAACAGG
rnacentral:rRNA from 1 species